GGAGCUAGAGUUUGAUCCUGGCUCAGGAUGAACGCUAGCGGCAGGCUUAACACAUGCAAGUCGAGGGGUAACAGGGAUUGCUUGCAAUCCGCUGACGACCGGCGCACGGGUGCGUAACGCGUAUGCAACCUACCUUCUACAGGGGGAUAGUCAAUAGAAAUGUUGAAUAAUACCCCAUAUGAUCUUUGAAUAGCAUUAUUUAAAGAAGAAAGUUCCGGCGGUAGAAGAUGGGCAUGCGUCCUAUUAGUUAGUUGGAGAGGUAACGGCUCCCCAAGACAUCGAUAGGUAGGGGUCCUGAGAGGGAGACCCCCCACACUGGUACUGAGACACGGACCAGACUCCUACGGGAGGCAGCAGUGAGGAAUAUUGGACAAUGGAGGCAACUCUGAUCCAGCCAUGCCGCGUGCAGGAAGACUGCCCUAUGGGUUGUAAACUGCUUUUAUACAGGAAGAAAUGUACCUACGUGUAGGUAUUUGACGGUACUGUACGAAUAAGGAUCGGCUAACUCCGUGCCAGCAGCCGCGGUAAUAAGGGCG
rnacentral:rRNA from 1 species